AUUGGAGAAAAGCAGGGGAUCGCAAGACCUUGCGCUUUUGGAGCGGCCGAUGUCUGAUUAGCUAGUUGGUGGGGUAAAGGCUUACCAAGGCUUCGAUCAGUAGCUGGUCUGAGAGGACGACCAGCCACACUGGGACUGAGACACGGCCCAGACUCCUACGGGAGGCAGCAGUGGGGAAUUUUGGACAAUGGGGGAAACCCUGAUCCAGCCAUGCCGCGUGAGUGAAGAAGGCCUUCGGGUUGUAAAGCUCUUUCAGCCGGAACGAAAAGGUCACGGCUAAUACCCGUGACAAAUGACGGUACCGGAAGAAGAAGCACCGGCUAACUACGUGCCAGCAGCCGCGGUAAUACGUAGGGUGCAAGCGUUAAUCGGAAUUACUGGGCGUAAAGCGUGCGCAGGCGGUUUUGUAAGUCAGAUGUGAAAUCCCCGGGCUUAACCUGGGAACUGCGUUUGAAACUACAAGGCUAGAAU
rnacentral:rRNA from 1 species